AUACGUAGGGGGCAAGCGUUAUCCGGAUUUACUGGGUGUAAAGGGAGCGCAGACGGCUAUGUAAGUCUGAAGUGAAAGCCCGCGGCUCAACCGCGGGACUGCUUUGGAAACUAUGUAGCUUGAGUGUCGGAGAGGUAAGCGGAAUUCCAAGUGUAGCGGUGAAAUGCGUAGAUAUUUGGAAGAACACCGGUGGCGAAGGCGGCUUACUGGACGAUAACUGACGUUGAGGCUCGAAGGCGUGGGGAGCAAACAGGAUUAGAUACCCUGGUAGUCCACGCAGUAAACGAUGAUAACUAACCGUCGGCGAUAGAAUGUCGGUGGCCAAGCGAAAGCGAUAAGUUAUCCACCUGGGGAGUACGUUCGCAAGAAUGAAACUCAAAUGAAUUGACGGGG
rnacentral:rRNA from 1 species